rnacentral:rRNA from 1 species
GCGUGUAGGUGUGUGUUCCAGGUAAAUCCGGUUCACUUUAACACUGAGGCGUGACGACGAGGCACUACGGUGCUGAAGCAACAAAUGCCCUGCUUCCAGGAAAAGCCUCUAAGCAUCAGGUAACAUCAAAUCGUACCCCAAACCGACACAGGUGGUCAGGUAGAGAAUACCAAGGCGCUUGAGAGAACUCGGGUGAAGGAACUAGGCAAAAUGGUGCCGUAACUUCGGGAGAAGGCACGCUGACAUGUAGGUGAAGUGAUUUACUCAUGGAGCUGAAGUCAGUCGAAGAUACCAGCUGGCUGCAACUGUUUAUUAAAAACACAGCACUGUGCAAACACGAAAGUGGACGUAUACGGUGUGACGCCUGCCCGGUGCCGGAAGGUUAAUUGAUGGGGUCAGCGCAAGCGAAGCUCCUGAUCGAAGCCCCGGUAAACGGCGGCCGUAACUAUAACGGUCCUAAGGUAGCGAAAUUCCUUGUCGGGUAAGUUCCGACCUGCACGAAUGGCGUAAUGAUGGCCAGGCUGUCUCCACCCGAGACUCAGUGAAAUUGAACUCGCUGUGAAGAUGCAGUGUACCCGCGGCAAGACGGAAAGACCCCGUGAACCUUUACUAUAGCUUGACACUGAACAUUGAGCCUUGAUGUGUAGGAUAGGUGGGAGGCUUUGAAGUGUGGACGCCAGUCUGCAUGGAGCCGACCUUGAAAUACCACCCUUUAAUGUUUGAUGUUCUAACGUGGACCCGUUACCCGGGUUGCGGACAGUGUCUGGUGGGUAGUUUGACUGGGGCGGUCUCCUCCUAAAGAGUAACGGAGGAGCACGAAGGUUGGCUAAUCCUGGUCGGACAUCAGGAGGUUAGUGCAAUGGCAUAAGCCAGCUUGACUGCGAGCGUGACGGCGCGAGCAGGUGCGAAAGCAGGUCAUAGUGAUCCGGUGGUUCUGAAUGGAAGGGCCAUCGCUCAACGGAUAAAAGGUACUCCGGGGAUAACAGGCUGAUACCGCCCAAGAGUUCAUAUCGACGGCGGUGUUUGGCACCUCGAUGUCGGCUCAUCACAUCCUGGGGCUGAAGUAGGUCCCAAGGGUAUGGCUGUUCGCCAUUUAAAGUGGUACGCGAGCUGGGUUUAGAACGUCGUGAGACAGUUCGGUCCCUAUCUGCCGUGGGCGCUGGAGAACUGAGGGGGGCUGCUCCUAGUACGAGAGGACCGGAGUGGACGCAUCACUGGUGUUCGGGUUGUCAUGCCAAUGGCACUGCCCGGUAGCUAAAUGCGGAAGAGAUAAGUGCUGAAAGCAUCUAAGCACGAAACUUGCCCCGA